UUCUCUUUCUGGUCGGGUCGGGCCCGGCCGGCACCACGAGCGCCCUGCAGAGACUGAGGGAGAGAGAAAGAGGAGGGGAGGAGGAGGAGGAGGAUUCAGGGAGUAGGAGCUGGGGAGCCCUCCCGCGCCACAGAAAAUUAAAUUUCCAGAGACUUGGUGAAGAUAGGAAAACUAUCAGAAAGACUAUAGCACUAUUGUACUGUAAGGAGCCGUUACUGGUCAACCAGAGUUUCCUUGUGAGAAAAUCUCGCUGUUCUCAUUGGAAUAAAGAGUUUGGGAUGAGUACUAAAAGUUCUUUAUCUUUUUCCUUCAAGUCUAGGAUUUGGUAUGGCCCAAAUUAAGAGAUCUUGCUUAUUAUCUUAGAUUGGUAAGUGUGUUAGCAUUUUAGUAACUUUCUGAGUAUACUUAAACACACUUGAAUUUAGCACAACCAAAUUGAUUUCUGUCACCAUAAACCUUUUUAUGAAAUAUUCUGUUAGGAAACGUUAGAUGCCACUACAGUUCAUUUUUGGACAACUUUUCUGUAAAUUUACACUCAAAAAGUUAUCCUUCAUUUGGGAUGGGGAAUAGGCUGUGUCUUGUGAUCUAACUCAAUUCAUUGUUAAGUUUGAUGUGUUAGUCAGGGUUUUCCAGAGAAACAUAACUCUAAGCUGUGUGUGUGUGUACUCGUUUGUGUAUGUGUGUGAGAGAGAGAUUUUUAAGGAAUUGACUCACAUAAUUGUGGAGCUGACAAGUCCAAAAUCUGCAGGUUAGGCCAACAAGCAAGAGCUGAUGUUGCGUUUUAAUUCCAAAGACAGUCUGCUGGCAGAAUUCGCUUUUCGAUCAGGCUUUUGAAAUUAAAGUCUACAAAUAGUUUGUUGAGAUCUACUGCCAUUAAGCCCUGAAAUCUGUUUUACUCAGUCGGUUGAUUUAAAUCUUUUCUUUUUAGGGCUGCACCUGCAACACAUGGAAGUUCCUAGGCUAGGGGUUGAAUUAGAGCUGCAGCUGCUGGCCUACACCACAGCAACUCCAGAUCUGAGCUGCGUCCUCGACCUACACUGCAGCUCAUGGCAGUACUGGAUCCUUAACCCACCAAGCAGGGGCAGAGGUCCAACCCUCAUCCUCAUGGAUUUGUCGGUUUCAUUACCACUGAGCCUCAAUGGGAACGUCUGUUAAUGUAAAUAUUAAUCCUCACUUUAAAAAAAUACUAUUCAGAAACAUCUAGAAUAAGGUUUAACCAAAUGUCUGGGUCCUGUGGCCUAGCCAACUUCACACAGUUGAGAGAGACUGACUCAUUCAGUGAUGAUUGAGUACCUAAUGUGAACCAGGCUCUAUGCUAGAUAUUGGAGGACCUCAGCAGAUUUAAAAAGAGAAAAAUAUAGUCAACAAUUUUUUUUUCUUGUCAACUAAUCUUAGAAAUAGAAAUUAGUCAUGCUUAUACUAAGUAUGGAAGGGAAACUUUCUUAAAAAAUAUGUAAUGGCAGAUAUAUAUUCAGUGUCCAAUAAUUUUAUAUUUAAUUUUAAAAUAAAUUUAGAAUUACACUGAAUUAAAAAUUUAUGUUUGGUUUUAGAAUGACUUUAUUCUUGAGUGUGUUAUUUUAGAAGUACUCUUUUAAGCUUAACAAAAUGCAAAUCUCUUUAGGAGUAACUUGUGUUGAAAGAGAAAAACGCUAUUUCAUCCAGACCUCUGCUCUGUUUUCUCAACGAUGAAGAGCACUGCUUUUUUCGUAUUACAGGAGAGCCCGGUUUCAGCCUAAGUAGACAUUUACCUCUUCUGUUGAAAUAUAUCCUCUGGCCUUGUCUACCUAAAUUAGAGUGAGAUUUAACAUGCUGAGGGAAGGGGACUCUUCAGAAAGGCAUGUCAAACCUUUUCCUCUUUUAUUUCCUUUUGAAUUAUUAGCAGAAAUGGUGAAAAUUUUGUUAGGAAAAAGGGAAACUAAGGAUUUGCCAUAUGGAGUGAAAUGAAUUAGUAUAUGAUAAUACUUGGCAUGAACUUUAAAUCAUUGUGGGGCAAAAAAUUGAUGACUACUUACACAUUCUUGUGGGGUUUAAUUCUCAAAAUUAGUUAAUAUGUUAGCUAAAAAUGAUUAAGAUUAAAUUUUCCGUCUGAAUUCUGUAUAGGGUGCAGUAAUUCUGUUAAGAGUUGUGCCUGUGAAGAGCAUGUGGGGCUCCUUUUGGUGGGUGAUCUGGGGCCGGGUUGGCUGGAGGUGGGCCUCUGCAUGCCGGCUGUCCUGCCUCAGUUCUCUUUAGCACCCGUCUAUUAUUUUGUUUUUGUUCCCAGGCAAAUGACUAUAAAAUUCCCCGUUCAAAACAAAACAAACUUUUAAAUAUAUGUUUGUGUAGGUCAGAAAUCCAGUAUGGGUCUCCCCAGACUGAGACAAGGUGUGAGAAAAGUCAGUUUCCUGUUCUUUUAGUCUGUGGGCAAAAUUAAAUUCUCGGGGGUUAUAGGACGUAGGUCUCUGUUUUCUUGUCUGUAAACUGCGAGCCCAUUCCACCUUCUUUGGGAGCUACAUCUUGGCUCAUGGACCCCUACUUCCAAUUUCAAAGCCAGCAACAGCAGUUCGAAUCCUUCUCAUUGGCACCUCUCUUGACUCUCCUUCUCUCAUUGCAUCUUUUCUUCUGAUUCAUGUGAUUAGGUUCAGCUCAGGAUAAUCUAGGAUAAUCUCACCAGCUCGAGGUCCAUAACUUUAAUCGCAUUUUCAAAGUCCCCUUUGCUGUGUUAGGCAAAAGAUUCCAGGGAUUAAGACGUGGGCAUAUUUGGGGGCUGUUGGUGCAUUAUUCAGCCUUCCAUACCUCCUUUUCACUCCUCAGAAUGUCCCAGUUUCACCAUCCAAUCUGAGUAGCCAGUUGAAGUAUUUAAAAUAGGAAUAAAAACUAAAACUCAGGUUUCUUCCUCCCUUUUAAAUUUAUGUUUCAGUUCUUUCCCUUUUUGUUUCCUCUCCUGCUUCCCUUUCAUACCUUUGCAAAGGUCAUGAAUCGUUUUCCUGGCUCACUUGUUAGAAGUCAGUGAGUGGGAAGUGUCUGUCAGUCCUCUUCUGUCCAUUAUUUAUGGAUAAAGGAGCCACAUGUUUUAUGGUGUGGUGGCUUCCAUCACUCUUUUAGUCUUUUGCUUUUGAAGCCUGUGACUCUCAUGUUCCUCAGUGUUUAGUGACAAGGUAGCCAGUGAAUCCCGAGGGUGUGGCAUCUAAAUUUGUGCUGCUGCUUGUGCUUGAGCCUGUCCUUAGACCGUUACAUGGGAAGAGGAGGAAGAGGAGGAAUUAAGACCGGCUUUUUUCUCCCUCUGCAUUUAGGCUCUAUUUUGUACCAGAAAGAUAGCUGGGCAUUACAUUUAUUUAAAUAGCUGCUGAUUUUUUUCAGAGGGCGUGGUUUUAUAUUCUAGAGACAAUUUUACUGAUACAACUGCAUUUUUAUCAAGUUAAGUACUUGAAUGUUUUUAUUUCACAUUUUGAAAUUUUUUAUUUAUUAGAUUAAAUUACAUUAAUUGAAGAAAACAGUUGUGUGUCUUGCGUGUAUCUAAAGACCAAAUUGCCGUUUCUAUCUACUCUUCAACUUAAAUUUGUAGUUUGGAACAUUGCCAACAGCAGAAAAUAUAAUUUAUAUUCAAAUGGAUUAAUUUGUUCCUUGGACAAUUUAAAAAAAGACUAAUUUAUGAUUUUUAAUGCUGUAUCUUAUUUUAAUAAGCUAAGUAGAUAUUUGAUACUUGCUAAUUUAUAUAUACUUGAGUCCUUAAUUUAAUCGUGAAUCCAUCAGAGUUUAGAUUUAGUUAAGUAAUGCAUAAGAUCUAAAACCAGUGCUACAUACUUCUAAAGUUCAUUUCUUUUUUUUCCCAUUCACAAUGCCAGUUUUACACUCCAUUUGCUGUCAGUGGAAAUGCAGGCGGCAGACACAGACAUAUUUAUCAUCACUGAGUUCACUGGAUCAUACAGGAAAAGUACAUUAAGAUGCCAUACAGAAAGUCUAACACACAUAAACAACCACUUAGCAUUUUUAAGAACAUAUCUGACUUAUUGAUCAGCUUAAAUAUCUUUCAUUCGAGCGUGUUACCCACGUGGAGCGCAUGCAUUCACGUACUUAUCUAAGCAAGAGCUGCUUGUGCUGAUGAAUGAGCACAUCUCCCCUUUAUGUAUCACCACGGAGAUCAAACCUUAGAAGGCUUUCCCCCUUCCAUCGGAAUCCCUAAAUCUUGUCACGAUUAAAUUAUUCUCGGGGUUCUUUAGAUAAGGUGCACUCCGGAAGAUAGCUGUAGAACACCUGAUUUUACACUGACAUUUGUGUUUGGUGUUCUGAGCCUCUUUUCCUGAAAUUUGUGUUGCUGUUUGUUGUUCUAGGCCCAGUGGCAGAUGCGGUGGGGAAUGGGGACUCUUCUUAAUUUCUCUUUUACUUAUGAACUCUUACGUUCUUCUAUAAAUGCUACCCUAGUAAAUUAGCCUCACCUCAGAUUGUGUGUAUGUUUAAAAAAUAUGUGCAAUAACUGUUAGAUUUUUUUUUCUAAUUGGAGUAUAUUGUCAAAAUUAGGAAAUAGCAAAAUAUAAUACCUAGUUUACAUGGAUACCAACCUAAACCUUAGAAAACAGUAAUAAGAAAUAAUACAGAUAUGAAAAAAAUAGGGGGAGUAAUUUAUUUAAAGGAUAAAGAACAGAUGAGUAUGUUUUCAUUUUAGGCCUUUAUGGGCAUUUUAUGUGAGUUCUAGAUUUGAGACAUUUUAAGAGAAAAAUGUCCUAGCCUUUUCUUUUAGUGAAACAGUACAACUGGAAGUUAUGUGUUUAAAAGUUUUAUGGUUUCCUCAGAUAAAUACUUUAUGUCCUAAUAUUUUCUCUCUCUAAAACAAAAAAGAGAAACAGAAUAGUUGCAAAUUAUGAUUCCUUGCAUACUUUCUAUGACCCUGUGCAGUUGGGUAAGGUUUUGUGUCCUCCUUUCUUGAAUCAUUCCUUUUGGACUGAACUAGCUCAUGGCGCCAGUCAAGCUGUUUCAUUUUAUUGUUGUUAGUUUCCAUAGAUAUGUUUUUAGAAUUUGUAAACGGGUGUGGUAUAGUCUUCAUUUCUGCUCUUUACUCAUCCUUUCCCUUCCUCUUCCAGAUUUGCACUAUUACUUCUUCAUCAUGCAAUCUAAAAUCUGUAGCUUCAGGAGUUCCCAUUGUAGCUCAGCAGGUUAAGGAUUCGAUGUUGUCUCUGUGAGGAUGCAGGUUCAAUUCCUGGCCUUGCCCAAUAGGUUAAGGAUCCAGCAUUUCUGCAAGCUGUGACAUCAGUUGCAGAUGCAGUUUGGAUCCUGUGUUGCCAUGGCUGUAGGCCACAGCUGCAGCUAUGAUUCUGCCCAUGGCCUGGGAACUUCCAUAUGCCACAGGUGUGGCAAGU
rnacentral:lncRNA from 1 species